CUAAGCUACUAAGGGCGAACGGUGAAUGCCUUGGCAUCAAGAGGCGAAGAAGGACGUGGAUAACUGCGAAAAGCUUCGGUGAGCUGUAAUCAAGCUGUGACCCGGAGAUAUCCGAAUGGGGCAACCCACCUGUUAAAAGACAGGUAUCCUUGGCUGAAUUCAUAGGCCAAAGGAGGCAAGACUCGGGGAACUGAAACAUCUAAGUACCCGGGGAAAGGAAAGAAAACUCGAUUCCCCCAGUAGCGGCGAGCGAAGAGGGAAGAGCCCAAACCGAAGAGCAUGCUCUUCGGGGUUGUAGGAUCACGACAUAGCAUUGGAGAUGAUAGCCGAACGGUUUGGAAAGGCCGUCCAAAGAGGGUGAGAGGCCCGUAGGCGAAAUUAUCGAAGAGCUUAGUGACACCUGAGUAGCGCGGGACACGUGGAACCCUGCGUGAAACUGGGAGGACCAUCUCCCAAGGCUAAAUACUACUUGAUGACCGAUAGUGAACCAGUACCGUGAGGGAAAGGCGAAAAGAACCCCGGGAGGGGAGUGAAAUAGAACCUGAAACCGUUUGCCUACAAGCUGUGGAAGGCCUAUGCACUUUAGGGUGCAGGCUGACUGCGUGCCUUUUGCAUAAUGAGUCCGCGAGUUACCGUUACGAGCGAGGUUAAGCCGUUAGGUGAAGCCGAAGCGAAAGCGAGUCUUAAAUGGGCGAAAUAAGUUCGUGGCGGUAGACCCGAAACCAGGUGAUCUAUCCAUGGCCAGGGUGAAGUUCCGGUAAAACGGAAUGGAGGCCCCAACCGGUUGAAGUUGAAAAUUCUUCGGAUGAGCUGUGGAUCGGAGUGAAAGGCUAAUCAAACCUGGAAAUAGCUGGUUCUCUUCGAAAUGUAUUUUGGUACAGCCUCGGAUGUUUUCUAACGGAGGUAAAGCACUGAAUGGGCUAGGGGUCUUACAAGACUACCAACCCCAAUCAAACUCUGAAUGCCGUUAGAUGAAGUCCGGGAGUGAGACUUUGGGAGAUAAGUUCCAGGGUCGAGAGGGAAACAACCCAGACCACCGACUAAGGCCCCCAAGUGUAUGCUAAGUGGCAAAGGAUGUGAAAACGCACAGACAACCAGGAGGUUGGCUUAGAAGCAGCCAUCCUUUAAAGAUAGCGUAACAGCUCACUGGUCAAGUGAGUUUGCGCCGAAAAUUCAACGGGGCUAAGCAUACCGCCGAAGUCGUGGGAUUGUGUUCAUUGGAACAUGAUCGGUAGAAGAGCGUUCUGCGGAGAAACGAGUCGUACCGGAAGGAACGAUAAAGGCCGUCAGAAGUGAUUAUGCGGACAUGAGUAGCGAUAAAACGGGUGAAAAACCCGUUCGCCGAAAGACUAAGGUUUCCUGAGUAAAGCUAAUCUUCUCAGGGUUAGUCGGUCCCUAAGGUGAGGCCGAAAGGCGUAGCUGAUGGGAAGCUGGUUAAUAUUCCAGCACCACUGGUGUGGAGCCAGGGGGGGACGAGAUGAACAAGGUCAGCCGGAUUCGGUUGUUCCGGUGUAAGCGCGCAGCUGGUUCGAUAGGUAAAUCCGUCGGGCAAUACAGUGAGGCGUGAAGGCGGGGGAACUUAGGUUCCCUCAGUGAUUGGAAGCAUCUCCAAGAAAAUCCUCAUGAGGCGAUGAAGCAUAUAGUGACCGUACCGUAAACCGACACAGGUAGUCAGGUAGAAGAUACUAAGGCGCUUGGGAUAACUCCAGUUAAGGAACUCGGCAAAAUAAUACCGUAACUUAGGGAGAAGGUAUGCCCCGACUGGUGAUCUAGCAAUAGUGAGCUGGACGGGGCCGCAGAGAAAUAGGGGUAGCGACUGUUUACUAAAAACAUAGGGCUAUGCAAACUCGCAAGAGGAAGUAUAUGGCCUGACGCCUGCCCGGUGCCGGAAGGUUAAGGGGAGAGGUCAUUGGGGGUAACCCUGAGAAGCUUUGAACCGAAGCCCCGGUAAACGGCGGCCGUAACUAUAACGGUCCUAAGGUAGCGAAAUUCCUUGUCGGGUAAGUUCCGACCUGCACGAAUGGCGUAACGAUUUCCCCACUGUCUCAACAGGAGUCCCAGUGAAAUUGUAAUAACGGUGAAGAUGCCGUUUACCCGCAGCUAGACGGAAAGACCCCGUGCACCUUUACUAUAGCUUGACAUUGAGUUUAGGGCUAUUAUGUGUAGGAUAGGUGGGAGACGUUGAAUCCGGGACGCCAGUUUCGGUGGAGUCACCCUUGAAAUACCACCCUUGAUAUCUUUGAAUUCUAACCCAGACCAGUAAUCCUGGUCGGAGACAGUGUCUGGUGGGUAGUUUGACUGGGGCGGUCGCCUCCAAAAAAGUAACGGAGGCGCGCGAAGGUUCUCUCAGGUUGAUUGGAAACCAACCGAAGAGUGUAAAGGCAUAAGAGAGCUUGACUGCGAGAGAGACAUCUCGAGCAGGUACGAAAGUAGGUCUUAGUGAUCCGGUGAUCCCGUAUGGAAGGGUCAUCGCUCAACGGAUAAAAGGUACGCCGGGGAUAACAGGCUUAUCUCCUCCAAGAGUUCACAUCGACGAGGAGGUUUGGCACCUCGAUGUCGGCUCAUCGCAUCCUGGGGCUGAAGCAGGUCCCAAGGGUAUGGCUGUUCGCCAUUUAAAGCGGUACGUGAGCUGGGUUUAAAACGUCGUGAGACAGUUUGGUCCCUAUCUGCUGUGGGCGCAGGAAAUUUGAGAGGGCCUGACCCUAGUACGAGAGGACCGGGUUGGACGAACCACUGGUGCACCAGUUGUCUCGCCAGAGGCAUGGCUGGGUAGCUAAGUUCGGAAGGGAUAACCGCUGAAAGCAUCUAAGCGGGAAGCCUGCCUCAAGAUAAGAUUUCCCCGGGAGC
rnacentral:rRNA from 1 species